rnacentral:rRNA from 1 species
GGAGGAAAGCAGGGGAUCGCAAGACCUUGCGCUUUUGGAGCGGCCGAUGUCUGAUUAGCUAGUUGGUGAGGUAAAGGCUUACCAAGGCGUCGAUCAGUAGCUGGUCUGAGAGGACGACCAGCCACACUGGGACUGAGACACGGCCCAGACUCCUACGGGAGGCAGCAGUGGGGAAUUUUGGACAAUGGGGGAAACCCUGAUCCAGCCAUGCCGCGUGAGUGAAGAAGGCCUUCGGGUUGUAAAGCUCUUUCAGCCGGAACGAAACGGUCACAGCUAAUACCUGUGACUACUGACGGUACCGGAAGAAGAAGCACCGGCUAACUACGUGCCAGCAGCCGCGGUAAUACGUAGGGUGCGAGCGUUAAUCGGAAUUACUGGGCGUAAAGCGUGCGCAGGCGGUUUUGUAAGUCAGAUGUGAAAUCCCCGGGCUUAACCUGGGAACUGCGUUUGAAACUACAAAGCUAG